rnacentral:rRNA from 1 species
ACGCUCGACACCUACGGGAGCAGCAGUGGGGAAUAUUGCACAAUGGGGGAAACCCUGAUGCAGCGACGCCGCGUGAGUGAAGAAGUAUUUCGGUAUGUAAAGCUCUAUCAGCAGGGAAGAAAAUGACGGUACCUGACUAAGAAGCCCCGGCUAACUACGCGCCAGCAGCCGCGGUAAUCUGAGCGGGCUGGCAAGGC